rnacentral:rRNA from 1 species
GGGUUGUGAGGUUAAGCGACUAAGCGUACACGGUGGAUGCCCUGGCAGUCAGAGGCGAUGAAGGGCGUGCUAAUCUGCGAUAAGCGCCGGUAAGGUGAUAUGAACCGUUAUAACCGGCGAUACCCGAAUGGGGAAACCCAGUGUGACUCGUCACACUAUCAUUAACUGAAUCCAUAGGUUAAUGAGGCGAACCGGGGGAACUGAAACAUCUAAGUACCCCGAGGAAAAGAAAUCAACCGAGAUUCCCCCAGUAGCGGCGAGCGAACGGGGAGGAGCCCAGAGCCUGAAUCAGCAUGUGUGUUAGUGGAAGCGUCUGGAAAGGCGCGCGAUACAGGGUGACAGCCCCGUACACAAAACGCAUGUGCUGUGAGCUCGAUGAGUAGGGCGGGACACGUGGUAUCCUGUCUGAAUAUGGGGGGACCAUCCUCCAAGGCUAAAUACUCCUGACUGACCGAUAGUGAACCAGUACCGUGAGGGAAAGGCGAAAAGAACCCCGGCGAGGGGAGUGAAAAAGAACCUGAAACCGUGUACGUACAAGCAGUGGGAGCCCCACCACCAAAGCAUUCUCUGGUGUUGAAGGCCCUGCAAAGCAGCAUCGCGGUGGCGGAGCGUCGUUUGCGACGCCCAACACACAAAACAAGCGGUGAGUGCUUUGGGGUGGGGUGACUGCGUACCUUUUGUAUAAUGGGUCAGCGACUUAUAUUCUGUAGCAAGGUUAACCGUAUAGGGGAGCCGGAGGGAAACCGAGUCUUAAC